UACGGAGGGGGCUAGCGUUGUUCGGAAUUACUGGGCGUAAAGCGUCCGCAGGCGGCUAUGUAAGUCUGCUGUUAAAGAGUGAGGCUCAACCUCAUAAGAGCAGUGGAAACUACAUGGCUAGAGUGCGUUCGGGGCAGAGGGAAUUCCUGGUGUAGCGGUGAAAUGCGUAGAGAUCAGGAAGAACACCGGUGGCGAAAGCGCUCUGCUAGGCCGCAACUGACACUCAUGGACGAAAGCUAGGGGAGCGAAUGGG
rnacentral:rRNA from 1 species